rnacentral:rRNA from 1 species
UACAGAGGUCUCAAGCGUUGUUCGGAUUCAUUGGGCGUAAAGGGCGCGUAGGCGGCCUGAUAAGUAGGGGGUGAAAUCCUGCGGCUUAACCGCAGGGCUGCCUUCUAAACUGUCGGGCUAGAGCACGGUAGAGGCAGAUGGAAUUCCCGGUGUAGCGGUGGAAUGCGUAGAGAUCGGGAAGAACAUCAGUGGCGAAGGCGGUCUGCUGGGCCGUUGCUGACGCUGAGGCGCGACAGCGUGGGGAGCAAACAGG